CCGGUCCAGUCCGAUCCACCCAUUUGGUCACAUACAGAUAAAUGGAUCGCUUGACUUUGUUAUCUGUGAUGGAACUAGCACAUUACACAGGUUUCCCAUUAUUUUGAUUCAGACAAACCUCCAAUACAACCAACAUAAAGGCUUUAUACCAAUGGCAUUUUACUAAUUAUAAUUAAUAACACAAACAUUGAAAUUUGUCACUUGAAUAUUCGAAUGAAACUCAUAGGAAUUACAACAGAGUAAAAAAUAACAAGAGAACCAGAAGUAAAAAUAUUGCACAAACAAUGAAAUGACGUGACAGUUUAAUCGUCCAGUAUUUCCUUUCGCUGAAGCUCAAUAACGUUUUCGUUCAACGAGCUAAGAUUACCGUUAAUUGUCUCGUUACUAUUCCGGCACUGUUGUAGCUGUUCCCUAAGCCUUAGCACAAGCUCAUUGAGUCUCUGGAUGUUCUUCUCUUGAGAUAAGAUAAUCUGCAGAAGUAAAUUAGCAUGUUAAAGUUCACAGUAAUUGUUGCCCAGUCAUCUCAUUAUUAGGACAGCACUACUAUGAUGCAAACAAAAAGAAUUUCAAUCAAAGCUACGCCAAAAUAAAUCUGAGAGGAAAGUGCAGUCAGGUCAUUUUUGAAUGAAAAGGUGAAUUACAAAGAUCCUGUUGGCCCCCGCUCCCUUCUUGAAAGGCAUCUAAACUUGGUUUGCGUAACAAGGGCUUUCAACGACUAUUUUGUAGCACUCACACCCCACAACUUCGAUCAAUAUUUGCGCAUUUCUUAACUGCUUUAAGGCACACAAUAAGGCAUUGCAUCUGUACUGUCUGCUCAAGAAUAAUGCACGUUCUGAGCCAUAACUGAUGUGUCUUCUUGAGUCACUCGCUCAAUAUAAAUUGAGAUUAAGGUAUCAAACUAUGACGCUCUGACUCGGGUGCGGGGAUCGGAUACGGGUAUAUAUCUAGAAGUCCGAUCCUUCUUAUUAUAAAAAUUAAGAUAUGGGGAUACAGUUAAAAAGAACCUGAAUUUUGGAUAUGGGUACGGAGAUACUUCUUACAAUUUUUUUAUUUUUAAAAAUCAGAACACAAUGCCAAAAUAACAAAGAGAAAAAUGGUUCAAUUAAACUAAAUAACCACAAUAUUAAAUUAACUUGUAAACAUAAUUAACUGAUAUUGGUUGUUAAAAAAUGAACUCGCAGUUUAUUUUGUUUAUCAACUCCUACGAUAAAAUCAAUUUAAACAAUUGAAUUAUAACUCGAAAUCAAUUUAAAUUUAAAGUCAAAAUAAAUUCUUUUCCAAAAAUUUAAGAAAAAAAUCAAUUUCAAUGUCUUCUAUGUUAUUUAAAAACAAUUAUAGAAAUAAAUUUAAAUUUAAUACGAAAGAAAAGAUAUAUCACUAAUUCAUUUUAAUCACAACAUAAAAUGUUCGUAAAGAUAAAAUAUAAGAAAUAAAAAAAUUAAAUAAAAAUAAACUCAAAUUAAAUUAUACAAAAAUAAACUCAUUAACUACAUUCAUUGGACUUCUAAAACUCAUCGUCUUCCCUAAUUCAUUGUCUUCCCCAAAUCUCUCUCUUUCUUUGCAAAUUUUUCAGCUGCUAGAGAAGAAAGACACCUUCCGUCAUCUUCUGGCC
rnacentral:lncRNA from 1 species